CAAAUGGCAGACGGCUCAGUAACGCGUAGUCAACCUAACCUAUGGACGGGAAUAACCUCGGGAAACUGAGAAUAAUGCCCGAUAGAACACUAUAUCUGGAAUGGUUUGUGUUCCAAAGGAUUUAUCGCCGUAGGAUGGGACUGCGGCCUAUCAGUUUGUUGGUGAGGUAAUGGCCCACCAAGACUAUUACAGGUACGGGCUCUGAGAGGAGUAGCCCGGAGAUGGGUACUGAGACACGGACCCAGGCCCUAUGGGGCGCAGCAGGCGAGAAAACUUUGCAAUGUGCGAAAGCACGACAAGGUUAAUCCGAGUGGUUUCUGCUAAAGGAACCUUUUGUCGGUCCUAGAAACACCGAUGAAUAAGGGGUGGGCAAGUUCUGGUGUCAGCCGCCGCGGUAAAACCAGCACCUCAAGUGGUCAGGAUGAUUGUUGGGCCUAAAGCAUCCGUAGCCUGCUUUGUUAGUUUUCGGUUAAAUCUAUACGCUCAACGUAUGGGCUGCCGGGAAUACUGCAAAGCUAGGGAGUGGGAGAGGUAGACGGUACUCGGUAGGAAGGGGUAAAAUCCUUUGAUCUAUUGAUGACCACCUGUGGCGAAGGCGGUCUACCAGAACACGUCCGACGGUGAGGGAUGAAAGCUGGGGGAGCAAACCGGAUUAGAUACCCGGGUAGUCCCAGCCGUAAACCAUGCAAACUCAGUGAUGCAUUGGCUUGUGGCCAAUGCAGUGCUGCAGGGAAGCCGUUAAGUUUGCCGCCUGGGAAGUACGUACGCAAGUAUGAAACUUAAAGGAAUUGGCGGGGGAGCACCACAAGGGGUGAAGCCUGCGGUUCAAUUGGAGUCAACGCCGGG
rnacentral:rRNA from 1 species